AAGGAUCAUUACCAAUCCAAUUACAUCUUUUCCUGUGAACAUUAAAAUGUAUUUAAUACUUGGGUGGCUUUAAAUUCAUUUUAAACCACCCAAGUAUUUUAAUUAACACCUAUUCAACUUGACAUAAGUACUUGUAUAUAUGUCAUGAGAUAUUGGUAUGUUGAAUAAACAUACGAAUUAUCUUAUUUCAUCUAUUACAAUAUAUAUUUAAAAAUUACAACUUUUAGCGGUGGAUCUCUUGGCUCAU
rnacentral:misc_RNA from 1 species